rnacentral:sRNA from 1 species
GAUGUCCGGCUGGAGCUGUCGCCUCCGCCGCCGCUGCUGCCGGUGCCGGUUGUGAGCGGGUCUCCAGUCGGCUCCUCCGGGCGUCUCAUGGCCUCUAGCAGCUCCCUGGUGCCCGACCGGCUGCGCCUGCCGCUCUGCUUCCUGGGUGUCUUUGUCUGCUAUUUUUACUAUGGGAUCCUGCAGGAAAAGAUAACAAGAGGAAAGUAUGGGGAAGGAGCCAAGCAGGAGACGUUCACCUUUGCCUUAACUUUGGUCUUCAUUCAAUGUGUGAUCAAUGCUGUGUUUGCCAAGAUCUGGUGGAUCGUACCCGGAGCUGGCUCUAUGCUGCCUGUUCUAUCUCCUAUCUGGGUGCCAUGGUCUCCAGCAACUCAGCACUACAGUUUGUCAACUACCCAACUCAGGUGAAACCUCAGGGUGGGACGAUGGUUGGCUCAGAUAUCAUUUGAAAAGGACUAAGAGUUCUUCCCUCAGAUCUGUGAGUUUAAAAAAAAAAAAAAAGAUAACGGUCCUCUAAGACAUUAGGAG